rnacentral:rRNA from 1 species
GAUGAACGCUAGCGGCAGGCUUAACACAUGCAAGUCGAGGGGUAUGCUUCUUCGGGAGCAGAGACCGGCGCACGGGUGCGUAACGCGUAUGCAAUCUACCUUUUACAGAGGGAUAGCCCAGAGAAAUUUGGAUUAAUACCUCAUAGUAUAGUACAACCGCAUGGUUGAACUAUUAAAGUCACAACGGUAAAAGAUGAGCAUGCGUCCCAUUAGCUAGUUGGUAAGUAACGGCUUACCAAGGCUACGAUGGGUAGGGUCCUGAGAGGGAGAUCCCCCACACUGGUACUGAGACACGGACCAGACUCCUACGGGAGGCAGCAGUGAGGAAUAUUGGACAAUGGGCGCAAGCCUGAUCCAGCCAUGCCGCGUGCAGGAUGACGGUCCU